rnacentral:rRNA from 1 species
GCGGCCAGAGAGGCGUGAGAGAGGGGAGCUGCAACAGGAACAACUAAGGGAGGAAGUAGCAGCCGAUGCCACCAAAAGAAGGGGAGCAGCAGGGGGACACGGCCGAGGGAGUGGAGCGGCAAGGGGGCGCCUCCGAUGGAGGGGAGUAGUAGGAGGGCCCCGCCGCUGGAGGGGAGCAGCAGGGGGGCGGCGUCGAUGGAGGGGAGCACCGGUGCCUGUCGAGGGAGAGAAAGAGGUGAUGCCGAGGGAAUGGUCGAUGGAAGGUAGCUAGAGAUGGGGGAGCUCGGUGACGACCAUGCGGCGCGAGGCCGUGGUGGCAUGUGUCAUACAGUCGUGGAGGGGAGAGGAGGCUGGCGAUGUCUUGCCGGGAAGGGGAGGUGGUGGAAGAAGUCGUGAAGGGAGGGAAGGGGAGGCGACAUGGAGAGCCAUGGCAUGGAGAGCAAGCGGCAAGGAAAUGAG